AACGAACGCUGGCGGCAUGCCUAACACAUGCAAGUCGAACGAGACCUUCGGGUCUAGUGGCGCACGGGUGCGUAACGCGUGGGAACCUGCCCUUAGGUUCGGAAUAACUCCCCGAAAGGGGUGCUAAUACCGGAUAAUGUCUUCGGACCAAAGAUUUAUCGCCUUUGGAUGGGCCCGCGUUGGAUUAGCUAGUUGGUAGGGUAAAAGCCUACCAAGGCGACGAUCCAUAGCUGGCCUGAGAGGAUGAUCAGCCACACUGGGACUGAGACAUGGCCCAGACUCCUACGGGAGGCAGCAGUGGGGAAUAUUGGACAAUGGGCGAAAGCCUGAUCCAGCAAUGCCGCGUGAGUGAUGAAGGCCUUAGGGUUGUAAAGCUCUUUUACCCGGGAUGAUAAUGACAGUACCGGGAGAAUAAGCUCCGGCUAACUCCGUG
rnacentral:rRNA from 1 species